rnacentral:rRNA from 1 species
UACGAAGGGGGCUAGCGUUGUUCGGAAUUACUGGGCGUAAAGCGCGCGUAGGCGGUUUUUUAAGUCUGUGGUGAAAGCCCGGAGCUCAACUCCGGAAUUGCCAUUGAAACUGUUGAACUUGAGGACGAGAGAGGUGAGUGGAAUUCCCAGUGUAGAGGUGAAAUUCGUAGAUAUUGGGAAGAACACCGGUGGCGAAGGCGGCUCGCUGGCUCGUUUCUGACGCUCAGGCGCGACAGCGUGGGGAUCAAACAGG